rnacentral:rRNA from 1 species
AACGAACGCUGGCGGCAUGCCUAACACAUGCAAGUCGAACGAGACCUUCGGGUCUAGUGGCGCACGGGUGCGUAACGCGUGGGAACCUGCCCUUAGGUUCGGAAUAACUCCCCGCAAGGGGUGCUAAUACCGGAUAAUGUCUUCGGACCAAAGAUUUAUCGCCUCUGGAUGGGCCCGCGUUGGAUUAGCUAGUUGGUAGGGUAAAAGCCUACCAAGGCGACGUUCCAUAGCUGGUGUGAGAGGAUGAUCAGCAACACUGGGACUGAGACACGGCCCAGACUCCUACGGGAGGCAGAAGUGGGGAAUAUUGGACAAUGGGCGAAAGCCUGAUCCAGCAAUGCCGCGUGAGUGAUGAAGGCCUUAGGGUUGUAAAGCUCUUUUACCCGGGAUGAUAAUGACAGUACCGGGAGAAUAAGCUCCGGCUAACUCCGUG